GACGAACGCUGGCGGCGUGCCUAACACAUGCAAGUCGAACGGGGGGGAACAUGAAGUAUUUCGGUACGGAAUGCGCCCCUAGUGGCGAACGGGUGAGUAACACGUGGGCAACCUGCCCCAGACUGGGGGAUAACAUUGUGAAAACAGUGCUAAUACCGCAUGACAGGGUUCCGGGCAUCCGGGACCCUUGAAAGGAGAAAUCCGGUCAGGGAUGGGGCCCGCGUCCAAUUAGCUAGUUGGCGGGGUAACGGCCCACCAAGGCGACGAUUGGUAGCCGAACUGAGAGGUUGAUCGGCCACAUUGGGACUGAGACACGGCCCAGACUCCUACGGGAGGCAGCAGUGGGGAAUAUUGGGCAAUGGGCGAAAGCCUGACCCAGCGACGCCGCGUGAAGGAUGAAGGUCUUCGGAUUGUAAACUUCUUUGAUCAGGGAAGAAAGAAAUGACGGUACCUGAAAAACAAGCCACGGCUAACUACGUGC
rnacentral:rRNA from 1 species